rnacentral:rRNA from 1 species
UACGUAGGGUGCAAGCGUUGUCCGGAAUCAUUGGGCGUAAAGAGCUCGUAGGCGGUCUGUCGCGUCUGCUGUGAAAACCCGGGGCUUAACUUCGGGCUUGCGGUUGAUACGGGCGGGCUGGAGUUCGGUAGGGGAGACUGGAAUUCCUGGUGUAGCGGUGGAAUGCGCAGAUAUCAGGAGGAACACCGGUGGCGAAGGCGGGUCUCUGGGCCGAUACUGACGCUGAGGAGCGAAAGCGUGGGGAGCGAACAGG